rnacentral:tRNA from 1 species
GCCUGGAUGGCUCAGUCUGUUAAGCCUCUGACUCUUGAUUUUGGCUUAGAUCAUGAUCCCACAGGUUCAUGGGUUCAAGUCCCAUUUCAGGCU